GACGAACGCUGGCGGCGUGCUUAACACAUGCAAGUCGAACGGAAAGGCCCUGCUUUUGUGGGGUGCUCGAGUGGCGAACGGGUGAGUAACACGUGAGUAACCUGCCCUUUACUUUGGGAUAACUUCAGGAAACUGGGGCUAAUACCUGAUAGGAGCUCCUGCUGCAUGGUGGGGGUUGGAACGUUUCGUCGGUUGGGGAUGGACUCCCGGCUUAUCAGCUUGUUGGUGGGGUAGUGGCUUACCAAGGCUUUGACGGGUAGCCGGCCUGAGAGGGUGACCGGCGACAUUGGGACUGAGAUACGGCGCAGACUCCUACGGGAGGCAGCAGUGGGGAAUAUUGCACAAUGGGCGGAAGCCUGAUGAAGCAACGCGGCGUGCGGGAUGACGGCCUUCGGGUUGUAAACCGCUGUCGCCUGUGACGAAGCGUGAGUGACGGUAAUGGGUAAAGAAGCACCGGCUAACUACGUG
rnacentral:rRNA from 1 species